ACGAACGCUGGCGGUGUGCUUCACACAUGCAAGUCGAACGGGGUAGCAAUACCCAGUGGCGGACGGGUGAGUAACACGUGGGAAUCUGCCUUUAGAUGGGGGAUAGCAGGCCGAAAGGCCUAUUAAUACCGCAUAUGCCGAAAGGUGAAAGGAGCAAUCCGUCUGAAGAUGAGCCCGCGCCCGAUUAGCUAGUUGGUAAGGUAAGAGCUUACCAAGGCAACGAUCGGUAGCUGGUCUGAGAGGAUGAUCAGCCACAAUGGAACUGAGACACGGUCCAUACUCCUACGGGAGGCAGCAGUGGGGAAUUUUACACAAUGGGCGAAAGCCUGAUGUAGCGACACCGCGUGAGCGAAGAAGCCUUUUGGGGUGUAAAGCUCUGUCAGCAGGGACGAAAAAAAUGACGGUACCUGCAGAGGAAGCAUCGGCUAACUACGU
rnacentral:rRNA from 1 species